rnacentral:rRNA from 1 species
AGAGUUUGAUCCUGGCUCAGGAUGAACGCUGGCGGCGUGCCUAACACAUGCAAGUCGAACGUGAAGCGUGUACUUGUACAGGCUGAAAGUGGCGAACGGGUGAGUAACACGUUGGUGACCUGCCCCGAGGCGAGGGAUAACUCCUUGAAAGAGGAGCUAAUACCUCAGAUGUCUGAACUGUUAUAGGGUUCAGACUAAAGUUCAGGCGACUGGGGAGGGGCCUGCGGGCUAUCAGCUAGUUGGUGGGGUAAGAGCCUACCAAGGCGAAGACGGCUAGGGGGCGUGAGAGCGUGACCCCCCACAAGGGAACUGAGAGACGGUCCCUACUCCUACGGGAGGCAGCAGUGGGGAAUAUUGGAGCAAAUGGGGCGCAAGCCUGGACUCAGCAACCGCCCGGCGGUGGGAUGAAAGAAGGCCUUUCGGGGUUGGUAAAAAUCCUUUUGCUGGAGGGGAAGGAUAAUGGACCGGGUACCCUUUAGGGAAUAAGUUCCGGCGUAUACCUAACGUUGCCCAAGCCAGCCCGCGGGUAAAAACGUAAGGGGACCAAGCGGUUAUUCCCGGAUUUACCUGGGGCGGUAAAGCGGCCCGUAAGGCGGGCUCUAAAACAGGUUCGAAUGGUGCAGAGCUCCCCCUGGCUUUAAUUUGGAAGAAGCUCCAUUCCAAACUCUAAAGCCGAGAAGGAUGGACGAAGUAGACGUCGGAAUUUCUCCCGGUGGUAGUGGUAGGAACUGCGUAGGAGAUCGGAAGGAACACUCAGUGGCGAAAGCGCUCUCUUCUGUUCUCACACUUGACGCUUGAGGGGCGAAAAGGCGUGGGGAGCGAACGGGGAAUUAGAUAACCCCCGUAGUUCCACGCUGUAACGAAGGAUACUACGGUGUAGGGGGUCCAUUAACCCCCUCUGUGUCCGCAGCUUACCGCUAGUUAAUGUAUCCCGCCUGGGGGAGUACGGCCGCCAGUGUUAAAACUCAAAGGGAAAUGGCGGGGGGCCCGCCACAAGCAGCGGGAGCGUGUGGUUUAAUUGGAGGUUACGCGAAGGACCUUUCCUGGGGUUGGACAUCCAGGGUAGGUAGCGAGGGUGAAAAGCCCGAGGCGACCCUUUCGGGGAGCCUGAACCAGGUGCUGCAAUGGCCUUCCGUCAGCUCGUGUCGUGAGAUGUUGGGGUUAAGUCCCCCCAACGAGCGCAACCCCCGUCGUUUAGUUACCAAGUGUCUAACGAGACUGCUGGUAUCAAACCGGAGGAAGGUGGGGAUGACGUCAAGUCAGCAUGGUCUUUAUAUCCAGGGCUACACACACGCUACAAUGGCCGGUACAAUAGGUUGCCACCUUGCAAAAGGGCGCUAAUCCCCAAAGCCGGUCUCAGUUCAGAUUGUCGUCUGCAACCCGACGGCAUGGAGGCGGAGUUGCUAGUAACCGCGCGUCAGCCAUAGUGCGGUGAAUGCGUUCCCGGGCCUUGUACACACCGCCCGUCACAUCAUGGGAGCUGGUAACACCUGAAGUCGGUGACCUAACCGCAAGGGAGGAACUGCCUAAGGUGGGACUGGUGACUGGGAUGAAGUCGUAACAAGGUAACC